rnacentral:rRNA from 1 species
AUUGGUGCCUUCGGGAACUCUGACACAGGUGCUGCAUGGCUGUCGUCAGCUCGUGUCGUGAGAUGUUGGGUUAAGUCCCGUAACGAGCGCAACCCUUGUCCUUAGUUACCAGCACGUUAUGGUGGGCACUCUAAGGAGACUGCCGGUGACAAACCGGAGGAAGGUGGGGGAUGACGUCAAGUCAUCAUGGCCCUUACGGCCUGGGCUACACACGUGCCACAAUGGUCGGUACAAAGGGUUGCCAAGCCGCGAGGUGGAGCUAAUCCCAUAAAACCGAUCGUAGUCCGGAUCGCAGUCUGCAACUCGACUGCGUGAAGUCGGAAUCGCUAGUAAUCGUGAAUCAGAAUGUCACGGUGAAUACGUUCCCGGGCCUU